CAGUUAAAAUUACGUCAGUUCUGGAAUAGUAUUCAUCUGCUGACCUGGAGGGAGAUGCAUGUGUCCAUCUGGUAUGCAGAGAUCAUUGCCCCACAUCUUGGCAUCCACUUGCUGCAAUUUAUUGAUAUGUUGGAUAUUUCCUCUUCUGAUUCUUUUACUGAUCUUCUGAAAGGGCCUAUAUUUCUAAUGCAGCAGUGACAAGAAGUGUGUCACGGUACUCACAAAAGGGAGUCCUGCAAUUAGAAUUUGGUGAGACAAAACCCAGCAAAGGACCUAGAACACCACUGCCUUCAUUGCACCAUUCCAGAGCCCAGAGGAGGGACGAUUGGCAUUACCCAUGAACAAUAGGGACAAAGGCAGCCCAAACGAGAAUGAUAACCUGUGGCAUGUUUGGCUCUCCAGAAAUGAGUGAUGAAUGCAUUCCAAAGAGGAGUAAAAUAAACUGGGACAGAUCUUGGGACUAUUUUUAAUGUGCAUCUGCCUAUACACUGAAUUUUGUUACCUGAAGAAACUGAGGGAUCUCUAUCAUUUGGGAUCUUAUCUUUAAGAUUCCAUAAAUGUGCUUGGAAUCAUAUGGGUUUCCCAUGUGGAUGGGUCAGAAGACCUCCAAAUCCUAUAAUCUGUCUGUCAUCUAAAGGCCUGCUCAUGAUGUUCUUGCAAUGCUACAACAGUGACUUGUUUGGAAACUACUUAUUUUAAACUCUCUUAAUGGCAUGACAAGAAACUCUUGUAGUGGCUGUGCUCUUUCCUAACGUGGAACCUGGGUUGUUCCACUUAAAAGACUUGUUGCUAUAAAAUUAUUCUUUUGUGUAACAGGGUACAAUAACACCAACUCUGUGAUUCCUUUGACUAUCUAUCAAUUUCUGAUACUUUGAGAGCUGGCGUACUGCUCUCUACUCUCCAGAAAAUUUGGCUAACUUUGUGCAGCAGUAUAUUGGCCUUUGAAAAUUGGCUUACAGUUAGCAGACAGAAGCAGGGUCAGAAUUAGUUCAAAACAAAUUAAUAGUCAGAAGUUCUAACUUGCUAAGCUGUAUGCAGUCCACUCUUCAAAGGAUAUUCACCGAUUGCUGUAAUUGCUGUCUUUAAGGUCUUCCAAAAAUCCAUGGACAUGUUAAUUAAUACUGUUGUAGAUAUAUGUGAAGGUAUUUGACCUGAGAAUUUAAUUCUACAGUUUAAUUCCAUAAUGAUUGUAAAUGGUAAGACUGCUGCAUAUUUAAAAGAACAUUAUUGUGAAUUUAGCUAGCUGUUGGCAGUUUAAUAGUGACUAACAGAUAUUAAAUAAGCAUGAAAUUCUAGUGGUGAAUGACAUUUUUUACAGAGGCAAGGUCUAGAAGCUGAAGGCAAGAGAAAAUGCUGCAGCCAUCCAUGGCGACCUUCCUUUUCCCCAGCAUUUUACAGUUUGUACAACUUUCCCAGCACCAGGGCAAGUCGGGAUUGGUAGAAGGGUCUUCUUCUUGCAAGUGUGGAUGGCACAUAAUGAGCCUGGUGGGACUGGAAUUCCUUGAUUUGCUCAAGUCAUUGACACCUCCCUUGUUGAUGUCACUGGCAGCAGGGUUUCCCCAAAGAUCUGAGUUCUUCAGCUGCUCAGAGUUAAUCAUAUCCUCCAGUAGUUGUAGUGUGAAGGCAGAGGUGUGUGAAUUCUACCCUUUCCCUUGACAGAGAUUUCUUAGAAAAAAAAUAAAGGAUGUCAAAAGAAAUCAGUUGUCUAAAGAAAAGAAAAGAAAACAAGUUGAUCCUUUCAUUGUUACCAUUCAAAAGCAUCUCUUUGUUUUCAGAACAAAACUGGUGGCAAGUGACUUCUUUUUCCACCCUGCGGUGGCUAUAUAAAUUUCUGCUACUAAGAGACAAACAUCACUGAUUUGACCGACUUAUUCAAAACAGGUCACAAAGCUGCAGCUUGUUGUGUCAAUUCUCAUCGUAUACUGAUGUGACAAGUUUUAUGAAUAAAAUAUGGGCAGUUGCUGUCUGAGAGGAUGCCACAUCUUAGCUACCCAAACCCUCUGUCCUUGAAGAGGGAAGCUUUGAAAAAUUAGGACCAUGUUUCAAUCCAGGCUGCACAAUAUGCUUUUCAACAAAGUGUAAUAUAUUGUGUUUAGCUGAAUAACUUUCUUCUCCUCUUCUCCCCUUCCCCUGUCCCUCCCCUACUACCAAAAAAAAAAAAAAAAAAAAAAAAAAACCAAACAAAAACAAAAACCCCAAAACCCCAAACAACAAAACCCGUGGCAUCUUAAACUAAAGCACACUUCAGUCGGUCUCCCUGGGUGUGCUCUGUGCCAGCAGCCACAGCGUUUCUUUCAUCUUGGCUUCAAAGUGGUGCUGAGAGGGGGAGGGGGCAUCUAAUGAAAGAAGGGAAAACAAACAAACAAACAAACAAAUGCAAAACGAGGGAGGAAAUGAAAAAUAGCAGUCUACCUUUCAAAUCUGAGUGUCGCCUGCAGGCACACUCUGCAGUGGAUGUUACACUCAGCUUCAGCCCCUUGUACUUUUUUUUUGUUAUUGCCUCUUCCCAUGCUGGGAAGAUUCUUGUCAUCCCUCACAUAUUUUAUCCGGAGAAAAGGCUGCCCUGCCCUGUGCUUGGUGAUUGAGGCUGUGCCCCUGGUGUGCCACACUAUCAGUGGUUCCCAAGGCUGCCUAGCCUGGGAAAAGCUGCGUGGAAAUGGUCCAAAAUCAGCAUUACAUGCAUUAUUGUUCUUACUCUCUCUGAUUAGAGUGCACACAAUGAAAACAACAGCAACAGCCUCAUUUUCUAGCCCUCCUCCCAACACAAGGCUGUUCUUAGACUGUUUUUCUUUCUCGAAGUCUUUACAGAAAUUAACUGCUUCUGUGCUGGUAGAUCCCAGGCACUCCAGCUGCUUCUUGGGAAGCCUCAGAGCACAGCCUGAGUGAGGGCAACAUUUUCAUAUGCAUACAGUUGGCUUGGGAACUAAAAUCCUUUAUUUUAAAAGUGAAUUUGUAUGUAGGCUGCUUCAUGCAGUGCUGGAAAUGCACCACUGAAAUGCUGUGGUGAUACGCACAGCACAAUUCCAGCAGGAUGAAACAUAAUAAAUAUAUUUAGGCAUUUUUUGCAUUGUAUGCAGAAUGCCUAUGCAUGCAUCGUAUUAAAUGCUGGAUGCAACAUACACAAUGUCCCAGCAGUGAAUCACAGCACCUGUGUUGUCCCAAGUUUGAAACACUGCUGCUUUUUGACUUACUCCCUGGUCAGACAGCUCUUGGUCUCCUGGCUUAAAAGCAUCAAAAUUGACGGAGAACACCAACACCUGAACUACACCCCUGCUGUAGAGGCUCUGUGGUCAUUUGGCAGGUAAUAGUCUACAUUUCCUAAGACUGCUAUUUGGGUAUUCCAUGUCUUGGGGUAACCACUUUGGGGUGGGUCAAAACUCGGUGUCCUUCUUAUCCCAAACACACAAAAAUGUUCCUGUGGAAGCACUGGGUGAGGUGCAGAAUUUCAAAUUUACUCUUUUGUAAAAUGCAGGUUUUACUGUUCCUGAAAUAUAUUCGGUGGAACAGCAAAUAAAGGAGGAAAUAUAUUUUCUUUCUGCUUAACAGAUUGGAUCAUGUCCUGAAAAGCCAGGUGCCUGUACUUUGGAUGUACUUAAGUAUUUCUUACAAGAUGGACUUUUAAAGCCGUUUCAGAAGAAAACAUUAGAUAGCCCAAGGUUCUAAAUACAAUGAAGGCAAAUGAUAACAAAGACUGAAUGCAUUUUUACAGUACAUUUUCCAUUCAGUUAUAGCAGAUGCUACACUUUCCCCCCCCCUUUUUUUUUUUUUUUUAAACAAAUAUAUAUAUCUUUUUUCGGCACACCAGUGGGAACACAUAUGGAAGCAGGCAUAUACCAUAUGAGACGUUUUGUUUUAGGACCCGCUUCUGAUGCUUUUCCUAUCUUACAACUUCACUGCAGAAAAGCACUUAAUGCCUAUUGCGUUCUUCACAGGGAGAUGUAGAAGUGCACUGGAUCCCUCCCCACCUUAAGGACCUGUGAGACUUCCAGGCAUCGCUUGCUCCCUGUGACCUAGAAUCUGCAGAGGUAUGAUAUGUAGAGAUCGAUUCAGAUAAGCAACUAUGGGAUUGAAGAAUGCAUUUCUUAAAGUGAACCUGUGCAAUGUUUCGCUAGAGAAUGCAUGAAAAGGAAAUGCUGCAGACACCGUGCACGCAACCAAAGAUGCAAAGCUCACACAUGAAGGAGCCUUCAGAAGUGAGAUGCUGGGCUAGAGGCAAACACUGAUAGAGUUAUGAGGAGCUGAGAAGCGAAGUGAUUAUUGGUGUCCCUUUGGGUCUGCUUUUCCUAUUAUUAUCUUCAUAUUUUCUGUCACACCACCAUGCGCAGACACUUUCCUUGAAUAACACUGGAAGGCUUCAAAUCCACAUCCAAGAUUUUUAUGUGUUCUGACAUCUACAUGAAACUGGCAGAUAAUCAUAGCUUUGUAAAGUUGAAAUGGGAAUAGAUCAAUUAAAAAAACAAAAAAAGCUCACACAAGACUGGUUACUAACCAGAGGGUGGUCAGUCAUAGAUACACCCGUGCUGCAAUAUUCACUUUUCUGCUAGUUCUUGCUAAUCUUCUAU
ensembl:lncRNA